rnacentral:rRNA from 1 species
ACUCCUGCGGGAGGCAGCAGUGGGGAAUAUUGGACAAUGGGCGCAAGCCUGAUCCAGCCAUGCCGCGUGAGUGAUGAAGGCCCUAGGGUUGUAAAGCUCUUUCACCGGAGAAGAUAAUGACGGUAUCCGGAGAAGAAGCCCCGGCUAACUUCGUGCCAGCAGCCGCGGUAAUACGAAGGGGGCUAGCGUUGUUCGGAAUUACUGGGCGUAAAGCGCACGUAGGCGGAUCGAUCAGUCAGGGGUGAAAUCCCAGGGCUCAACCCUGGAACUGCCUUUGAUACUGUCGAUCUGGAGUAUGGAAGAGGUGAGUGGAAUUCCGAGUGUAGAGGUGAAAUUCGUAGAUAUUCGGAGGAACACCAGUGGCGAAGGCGGCUCACUGGUCCAUUACUGACGCUGAGGUGCGAAAGCGUGGGGAGCAAACAGGAUUAGAUACCCUUGUAGUCCCAUG